GUGUGCACACAGAGUGUGAAAAAGCUAGCAGCGUGGUAAUCAUAGUAGCAACGUACGGAGAUACUGUCGAGAAACAGUUUUACAGGUUACCGCGUGAACUAGCAUUCAUAGCGGAGGAAGAACUACAGGAUUCCCUAGUAACUGCGAGUGAAGCGGGAAAAGCUCAAAUUUAAAAUCUGGUAGUCUCUGGCUACCCGAGUUGUAAUCUAGAGAAGCGUUAUCCGCGCUGGACCGUGUAUAAGUCUCCUGGAAUGGAGCGUCAUAGAGGGUGAGAAUCCCGUCUUUGACACGGACUACCAGGGCUUUGUGAUGCGCUCUCAAAGAGUCGAGUUGUUUGGGAAUGCAGCUCUAAAUGGGUGGUAAAUUCCAUCUAAAGCUAAAUAUUGGCGAGAGACCGAUAGCGAACAAGUACCGUGAGGGAAAGAUGAAAAGAACUUUGGAAAGAGAGUUAAACAGUACGUGAAAUUGUUGAAAGGGAAACGCUUGAAGUCAGUCGCGUUGGUCGGGGAUCAACCUUGCUUUUGCUUGGUGUACUUCCUGAUUAACGGGUCAGCAUCAAUUUUGACCAGUGGAAAAAGUUCGAGGGAAUGUGGCAUCUCCGGAUGUGUUAUAGCCCUUGUUCGUAUACAUUGGUUGGGAUUGAGGAACUCAGCACGCCGCAAGGCCGGGUUUUACCACGUUCGUGCUUAGGAUGCUGGCAUAAUGGCUUUAAUCGACCCGUCUUGAAACACGGACCAAGGAGUCUAACAUACCUGCGAGUGUUUGGGUGGAAAACCCAAGCGCGUAAUGAAAGUGAAAGUUGGGAUCUCUGUCGUGGGGAGCACCGACGCCCGGACCAGACCUUCUGUGACGGAUCCGCGGUAGAGCAUGUAUGUUGGGACCCGAAAGAUGGUGAACUAUGCCUGAAUAGGGUGAAGCCAGAGGAAACUCUGGUGGAGGCUCGUAGCGAUUCUGACGUGCAAAUCGAUCGUCGAAUUGGGUAUAGGGGCGAAAGACUAUCGAACAUCUAGUAGCUGGUCUGCCGA
rnacentral:rRNA from 1 species